rnacentral:rRNA from 1 species
GACGAACGCUGGCGGCGUGCUUAACACAUGCAAGUCGAACGGAAAGGCCCUGCUUUUGUGGGGUGCUCGAGUGGCGAACGGGUGAGUAACACGUGAGUAACCUGCCCUUGACUUUGGGAUAACUUCAGGAAACUGGGGCUAAUACCGGAUAGGAGCUCCUGCUGCAUGGUGGGGGUUGGAAAGUUUCGGCGGUUGGGGAUGGACUCGCGGCUUAUCAGCUUGUUGGUGGGGUAGUGGCUUACCAAGGCUUUGACGGGUAGCCGGCCUGAGAGGGUGACCGGCCACAUUGGGACUGAGAUACGGCCAAGACUCCUACGGGAGGCAGCAGUGGGGAAUAUUGCACAAUGGGCGGAAGCCUGAUGCAGCAACGCCGCGUGCGGGAUAACGGCCUUCGGGUUGUAAACCGCUUUCGCCUGUGACGAAGCGUGAGUGACGGUAAUGGGUAAAGAAGCACCGGCUAACUACGUG